ACCUAAUAGAUACCCUGGUAGUCCACGCCCUAAACGAUGCGAACUGGAUGUUGGGUACAUUACGGUACUCAGUGUCGAAAGCUAAACGCGUUAAGUUCGCCGCCUGGGGAGUACGGUCGCAAGACUGAAACUCAAAGGAAUUGACGGGGGCCCGGCACAAGCGGUGGAGUAUGUGGUUUAAUUACGAUGCAACGCGAAGAACCUUACCUGGCCUUGACAUCUGUCGAAUCCUGCAGAGAUGCGGGAGUGCCGCAAGGAACGACAAGACAGGUGCUGCAUGGCUGUCGUCAGCUCGUGUCGUGAGAUGUUGGGUUAAGUCCCGCAACGAGCGCAACCCUUGUCCCUAGUUGCCAGCACAUC
rnacentral:rRNA from 1 species